ensembl:lncRNA
GUAACAUGUGCAUACUGUUAAAGUCAUCAAUGUGAUGUAAUUAUGUGUUUCCAAUCUGAACAAACUCGUGUCUCGCACAUAAACUGGUAAAUGUGUUUUUAUCUGUAAAAUGAGCUUAGUUCUGUCAUAAACCUGAAAUGAAAAAUGACUUCAUGAAACAGUUGCAGAAAUACUAGGCAAAACACAGGACCCUGCCUAUGCUGCCUACAUUGCUGUGAGAUCCACAGACAGUACUAAACAGGAAAUAAAAGAGGUUGAGGAGGAACGCGGUGAGGUAGAAGCUGCUGAAGAUACAACUGAAAAAGCUCAAGAUAUUGUGGACGUUACAACGGAGGAAGGGAGGGUUGAAACGGCUUGGGACAGCUCUGAUGUCACAGUUGAAGACGAUGAGGCUGCCUCCGAUGUCAUGGAGGAGGAUAAAACUGCUGGAACAGUUGAAGAUAUUGCAGAUGUUACAGAGGAGGAACCUUCUGUUAUGCAAGAAGACAUAGAUGGGGAAAUAGAACCUGAAAAGUUUGAGGAUAUCUCUGAUUUUGCAGAGGACGAAUCAACUGAUAUGACCUCUGAUGCUACAUAUGUGAAGGACAUGGAUGAUACCUCAGAUGUUGUAACAGCAGAUGAUGAAGUUACUGAAACAGUUGGAGAUAUUUUGGAUGUUACAGAGGAGGAACUUUCUGAUAUGGCAGAAGUCAUAGGUGAGGCAAAAGCAACUGAAAAGUUUGAAGAUAUCUCAGAUUUUGCAGAGGAUAAAUCAACUGAAACGACAUCUGAUGCUACAGAUAAGAAAAAUGUUGACGAUACCUCAGAUGUCGUUACAGAAGAAGAAGAAGUUACUGAAACAGUUGAAGAUGUAGAUGUUACAGUGGAGGAAACCUCUGAUAUACCAGAAGUCACAGAUGAGGAAACAGUGACUGAAAAGGUUGAAGAUAUAUCAGAUUUUGCAGAGGACAAAUCAACUGAAAUUACUGAAUCUGAUGCUACAGAUAUGAAAAACAUUGACGAUACCUCAGAUGUUGUUACAGAGGAAGAAGAAGUUACUGAAACAGUUGAAGAUGUAGAUGUUACAGUGGAGGAAACAUCUGAUAUUCCAGAAGUAUUAGAUGAGGAAAUAGCAACAGAAAAGUUUGAAGAUAUCUCUGAUUUUAAAGAGGACGAAUCAGCUGAAAAGACCUCUGAUGUGACCGAAGACAUUGAUGCUGUUACAGAGGAGGAAGUAGUUACUGAAACAGCUGAAGAUAUUCCAGAUGUUACAGAGGAGGAAACAUAUGACAUUCCAGAAGUCAUAGAUGAGGAAUUAGCAACUGAAAAGGCUGAUGAUAUCUUUGACUCCGUAGAGGACGAGUCAACUAUGAUAACCUCUGAUGUGACAGAAGACACUGAUUAUACCUCAGAUAUUGUUACAGAGGGAGAAGUUACUAAAUCAGUUGAAGAUAUUGCAGAUGUUACAGAGGAACCAUCUGAUAUGCCAGAAGUCAUCGACAUUGAUGAUACCUCAGAUCACGAUACCUCUGUAGUUAUAGAGGAGAAAGAAUCAACUGAAACAAUUGAAGAAGCAGCAAUUGAAACAGCAGAAGGUACUUCCUAUGUUACAACCAAAACUGAAUUAGACAAUACAGAUGAAAAUGAAUUUCAGAAAUAUCCCAGUGUUACAGAGGAGGAGGAAGAACCUGAAAAAGUUAAAGAUACUUCUGAUUUCUUAGGUGAGGAAGAAGAACCUGAGACAGAUGAAGAUACCAGCACUGAAGAAACAGCCGAAGAGUCACUAGAAAAUGAACAGCCACCUGAAUUGGCUGAAGCUACUCCAGAUACCAUCUGUGUAAAGGAAAAGACUGAAGCAACAGAACUUGAUGAUCUUGAAGUCCUGGGUAAGGAUGACAUGAAAGUGGAAGGCAAGGAGGAGAAGGAAGAUGUGGCAAUUGCUGAUGCUGAAAAGGGCACAAAGAACCUGGAGAAUGAUCUAGAUGAAGAUGAGGUUGAGGUUUUAAAAGAGGAGACUAAAGAUCAAACUAUCUUGGGAACCACUGCUGGUGAAGAUGACCAUGAUGAUGAAGAGGAGCUUGUCCUUUCUCCUGUCCAGCAGGAUCUAACAAACAGAGAUGAUGAAAAUAACAAUAACAAUGACAGGAAGAAAGAUGCCAUAAAAAGAGGCCUGAGCGGGAGAAAAACACCAAAGAGUCAUUCCACUGAAACAGAUGACCAAGAAGCGCACAAGCAUCUUCAUGAAGAUAUGAGGGAGAAGAAGGCUGAUGGUGAAGAGGAAGAGAUAACACUACAACAAAUAAACAUAACAGUAGAAAAAGUCAAGAAAAAAAAAGAACAUGAGAAAAAGGAGAUAGAAAAGGCUAAAAGAAAAGAAAAAUCCAAAGAGGACAAGACUCGAGAACCAACAAACAAGGACACCAAGAAAAAACCUGACAAAAAGGUCAAGGUGACUAAAGUGGAUGAGGAACCUCCUCUAAAAAAGAAGAAAUCUGGACCUGAGAAAAAGGUUAAACCAGCAAAGAAAGGUAUUCAACACAUCCUGUUCAUGGACAAUAUAUUUCAAUGUUGUUGUUGUUUUUUGGAAAUAAAAUUUCCCACAAAGUCCACAAACAUUCCUAAAUUUAAUAUAUCGCACAGAAGCCAAAAUUGUGAAACAAAAUGAUGUAUUUUAUGCAUGUCUAUAACAGCCAGCUCACCGCCAACUAUUGUUUCUAUUGUGUCAUAGAUGUUGAGAUGGCCAAGGACAAAAUCAAAGCAGUACCUGUAAAGAAAGAAGCUGAAGUGGCCAAAAAAGAGAUCAAACCAGCACCAUCUAAGAAAGGUAUUGUGUUGUGUGUUCUUGCUUUACUGAGCACACAUUACUGAGAACACUAUCAGUAGAACAUAAAUACAGAUAGAUACAGAUUAAAUAUAAAAUACAACUAUACAAAUAUACAAAUAAGGUAAAAUGUAAAAAAAUAUAUAAAGCAG